UACGUAGGGUGCAAGCGUUUGUCCGGAAUUAUUGGGCGUAAAGAGCUCGUAGGCGGUUUGUCGCGUCGUUCGUGAAAACUCACAGCUUAACUGUGAGCUUGCGGUCGAUACGGGCAGGCUAGAGUUCGGUAGGGGAGACUGGAAUUCCUGGUGUAGCGGUGAAAUGCGCAGAUAUCAGGAGGAACACCGGUGGCGAAGGCGGGUCUCUGGGCCGAUACUGACGCUGAGGCGCGAAAGCGUGGGGAGCAAACAGG
rnacentral:rRNA from 1 species